rnacentral:rRNA from 1 species
GCCUAACACAUGCAAGUCGAGCGAUCUUCUUCGGAAGAGAGCGGCGGACGGGUGAGUAACGCGUGGGUAACCUGCCCUGUACACACGGAUAACAUACCGAAAGGUAUGCUAAUACGGGAUAACAUAAGAAAGUCGCAUGGCUUUCUUAUCAAAGCUUUUGCGGUACAGGAUGGACCCGCGUCUGAUUAGCUAGUUGGUAAGGUAACGGCUUACCAAGGCGACGAUCAGUAGCCGACCUGAGAGGGUGAUCGGCCACAUUGGAACUGAGACACGGUCCAAACUCCUACGGGAGGCAGCAGUGGGGAAUAUUGCACAAUGGGCGAAAGCCUGAUGCAGCAACGCCGCGUGAGCGAUGAAGGCCUUCGGGUCGUAAAGCUCUGUCCUCAAGGAAGAUAAUGACGGUACUUGAGGAGGAAGCCCCGGCUAACUACGUGCCAGCAGCCGCGGUAAUACGUAGGGGGCUAGCGUUAUCCGGAAUUACUGGGCGUAAAGGGUGCGUAGGCGGUCUUUCAAGUCAGAAGUGAAAGGCUACGGCUCAACCGUAGUAAGCUUUUGAAACUGUAAGACUUGAGUGCAGGAGAGGAGAGUGGAAUUCCUAGUGUAGCGGUGAAAUGCGUAGAUAUUAGGAGGAGCACCAGUUGCGAAGGCGGCUCUCUGGACUGUAACUGACGCUGAAGCACGAAAGCGUGGGGAGC